rfam:Exidia glandulosa HHB12029 unplaced genomic scaffold EXIGLscaffold_341, whole genome shotgun sequence.
GGUCGCGUAGCUUAAUGGAAAGCUCUUGCUUCAUAAGUCGCCUCCGGGCAACUUUGUAUCAUCUUCCUGGUUCAACUCCGGGCGUGACCC